rnacentral:snRNA from 1 species
GGAUGUGAGGGUGAUCUGGCUGUGACAUCUAUCACCGUAUAAACCACCAAGGUUGAUUUGGCUGAUCUGGCUGGCUAGGCAGUGUCCCCUUCCUCCCUUACUCAAUGUGCAUCCCUCCUGAAGCUGUGUACUUGAUCGAAGAGGAUGAAGAGAAGAACUGGUCUUCAGUUAAGGGUAUUUGAGUAGCUGCAUUCCCCUGCUGGAAUCUCCAAACAACCUCUCACAAGAUUCAGGAAUUGUUUCUACAUCUGACAUCAGGGUGUUCUUAUGUCCUAUGGGAAACUCAUAAAACUCAUAAUUCAAAAAAAAAAAAAAAAAACACUAAGUUU